GACGAACGCUGGUGGCGUGCUUAACACAUGCAAGUCGAACGGAAAGGCCCUGCUUUUGUGGGGUGCUCGAGUGGCGAACGGGUGAGUAACACGUGAGUAACCUGCCCUUGACUUUGGGAUAACUUCAGGAAACUUGGGCUAAUACCGGAUAGGAGCUCCUGCUGCAUGGUGGGGGUUGGAAAGUUUCGGCGGUUGGGGAUGGACUCGCGGCUUAUCAGCUUGUUGGUGGGGUAGUGGCUUACCAAGGCUUUGACGGGUAGCCGGCCUGAGAGGGUGACCGGCCACAUUGGGACUGAGAUACGGCCCAGACUCCUACGGGAGGCAGCAGUGGGGAAUAUUGCACAAUGGGCGGAAGCCUGAUGCAGCAACGCCGCGUGCGGGAUGACGGCCUUCGGGUUGUAAACCGCUUUCGCCUGUGACGAAGCGUGAGUGACGGUAAUGGGUAAAGAAGCACCGGCUAACUACGUG
rnacentral:rRNA from 1 species